GACGAACGCUGGCGGCGUGCUUAACACAUGCAAGUCGAACGGAAAGGCCCUGCUUUUGUGGGGUGCUCGAGUGGCGAACGGGUGUGUAACACGUGAGUCUCCUGCCCUUGCCUUUGGGAUAACUUCAGGAAACUGGGGAUAAUACCGGAUAGGAGUUCCUGCUGCAUGGUGGGGGUUGGAAAGUUUCGGCGGUUGGGGAUGGGCUCGCGGCUUAUCAGCUUGUUGGGGGGGUAGUGGCUUACCAAGGCUUUGACGGGUAGCCGGCCUGAGAGGGUGACCGGCCACAAUGGGACUGAGAUACGGCCCAGUCUCCUACGGGAGGCAGGAGGGGGGAAUAAUUCACAAUGGGCGGGAGCCUGAUACAGCAACGCCGCGUGCGGGAUGACGGCCUUCGGGUUGUGUACCGCUUUCGCCGGUGACGAAGCGUGAGUGACGGUAAUGAGUAAAGAAGCACCGGCUAACUACGUG
rnacentral:rRNA from 1 species